rnacentral:rRNA from 1 species
UACGGAGGGUGCAAACGUUGCUCGGAAUUAUUGGGCGUAAAGCGCACGUAGGCGGGUUGUCAAGUCGGAUGUGAAAGCCCUCGGCUUAACUGAGGAAGUGCAUUCGAAACUAGCAGCCUUGAGUACAGAAGAGGGUCGCGGAAUUCCCGGUGUAGAGGUGAAAUUCGUAGAUAUCGGGAGGAACACCAGUGGCGAAGGCGGCGACCUGGGCUGAUACUGACGCUGAGGUGCGAAAGCGUGGGGAGCAAACAGG